UAAUAUCAGAGUAUUUUUAAUCUAAUUUAAUUUCUCAUGGUCAUAUGCCUUCAGAAGUGUAAAACUGAUGGCGUAAUCUUCUUUGCGGAUUAAAAUAAAUACCCAUCCUUGAAGCUCUGAAGAAGCUUCAUCGGAGCUCUCAAGAACAGAGAAUACGGAAAAGAGAAUAGGACGCCUCUUGCACAUUGAAAGGGUUGGGCAACAAUGAUUUAUCCACUAAUUGUAAGUUCAACAUUUGUUCCAAGUUAACUUAUUUUCAAUUAGUGCAUAUGGCUACUCAGUUGGAAUUAUGCAUUAGAACAAAACAGUUCGUUCAUCUUUCUGAUGCAGAGUUCCCCCCUUUUUUUAUUCUUCUUUGCAAUUUCUCUUCAAUUUCAAACUAUACAACCAGCUCACUCAAACACCAACAAUGCAGACCUUCUAUAGAGAAACAUUUGUUGCCAAUGUACAACUCGGUACAAGAAUGUUUGCU
rnacentral:lncRNA from 1 species